rnacentral:lncRNA from 1 species
CUCCAUCUAUCUACCCACUCAUCCAUCCCCAGCAGGUUAGUACAUCCCUCAGCUUCUCAGACAGGAGAGGUGAUUGGGUUCAUCCCUUUCUGAAGAAUCUCCAAAGCACAGCCAAAGCUGGGAAGGAAGACCCAUAUGAAUACAGGCGGAUGCCCUAUUUCUUCUGAGGAAAACCAUGAAGAACAGCUCCAACAGAGGAGCCUGGACUACAACCCUGGGCAGGCAGCUCCACCCACCCGUCCACAGGUAGCCUCGGUUGGGCUCCACUAUCCCUGCUCCAGUACCCACUCCCAGCACUUAAGAAUGUCUCCUGUCUGGCUCCAGCAUGAAGGUAACAGAGAAGGAAGAUCUGGAUUUCCGGCAGAUUAAGUGGAGGAGAGAAGAGAGGGACCGAGGAAGAAAAAAAAGGCCGUGGACAAAUGAAAACUGUCUUGUGAACAUAAAGUGAUUGACAUAGAUCACAUCACCUGGAUUAUGAUGAUUUAAAAGGCAGUUCACACACAGAAAUCCCAGAAAGGUUUAGAGCAAAAUAAUGACUUUCAGAGAAGACUGUGAAUUUGGAUCUCUACAUUCCAGUACACUUAUGGGGGAAAAGAAAGUGCUUUUAACUUACAAGUAUUCUGAAUAGUCACUCUUUCGGAGUCUUUUUUUUUUUAAUUGGAAAGUAACAUUUUUCCAUUAGAGGAUUCAAUUCUACUACUGCUGCAAAAGAAUUAUUUCUGGAGUCAGAAUCAAAUCAACCUUUAUAAUCAGUCUAAUGAGUCAGACCCACUGAUAUAUAUUAGUGGACCUGGCUUCUGUUCUAGGUCAGGAACUGAGAGCUCCUGACACUUUGUAAUAGUGUA